ACGGGGGAUGCCUAGGCUCUCAGAGGCGAAGAAGGACGUGAUAAGCUGCGAUAAGCUACGGGUAUUGGCAAAUGCGAACUGAUCCGUAGAUUUCCGAAUGGGGCAACCUGACUAUUUGAAGAAUAGUCG
rnacentral:rRNA from 9 species